UACGUAGGUGGCAAGCGUUGUCCGGAUUUACUGGGCGUAAAGGAUGCGUAGGCGGACAUUUAAGUCAGAUGUGAAAUACCCGAGCUUAACUUGGGUGCUGCAUUUGAAACUGGGUGUCUAGAGUGCAGGAGAGGUAAGUGGAAUUCCUAGUGUAGCGGUGAAAUGCGUAGAGAUUAGGAAGAACACCAGUGGCGAAGGCGACUUACUGGACUGUAACUGACGCUGAGGCGCGACAGCGUGGGGAGCAAACAGG
rnacentral:rRNA from 1 species